rnacentral:tRNA from 1 species
AGGGUUAUAGUUAAACAUAACAUUUGAUUUGCAAUCAAAAAGUAUUGAUUAGUCAAUUCUCCUU